rnacentral:lncRNA from 1 species
UUGGUUUUGGAUAUUGGCCACGACAUAGCAAGAUCUCCUGCAGCUAUUGUGGACUCUUUUCUUGCACAUAGGUAAUGGAAGUUCUUCAGAGUCUCAUUCAGAAUGAAGAAAAUUAAUGAAGGUCCCAUGAACCUGUCAUGCCAUGUGCGCAAAGAUGGUGAGAUUUUAUUAGGUCUUAUCUAAUUAUCUUGUACCUGACGAGGCAACAAAACAUAAUUAAGUACAAACCACAUAGACUCGUGUCUCAUGGUUUUCGAGGCUUGGACAGCCUUGAAAUUUCAGAACAAGAAAAUUCCAUGUGACUGUAGAGUUCCGGCAUAAUAAUGGCAAACUGUGAAUCCAGCCAACAACUUCAGGAUUUUCUUUCUCACUUGUUCUUUUCUUCAAUCACAGUUAGGUAGCGACCAUGAUUAUAUACUUCCAUUUCAUUUUCUUAUCUUUUAAUGUUUUGUUCUCAAAUUUUGCAUGGAUAAGGAAAAUGAAGUCAUUUCGUUUUCUUUUUUCAAAGUGAGUUUUGUGAUCGUUGCAAUUGGGUCACUUCUUAUGCCGGUCUUGUACUGUAC